rnacentral:rRNA from 1 species
UAGGGAAUCUUCCGCAAUGGGCGAAAGCUUGACGGAGCAACGCCGCGUGAGUGAUGAAGGUCUUCGGAUCGUAAAACUCUGUUAUUAGGGAAGAACAAAUGUGUAAGUAACUAUGCACGUCUUGACGGUACCUAAUCAGAAAGCCACGGCUAACUACGUGCCAGCAGCCGCGGUAAUACGUAGGUGGCAAGCGUUAUCCGGAAUUAUUGGGCGUAAAGCGCGCGUAGGCGGUUUUUUAAGUCUGAUGUGAAAGCCCACGGCUCAACCGUGGAGGGUCAUUGGAAACUGGAAAACUUGAGUGCAGAAGAGGAAAGUGGAAUUCCAUGUGUAGCGGUGAAAUGCGCAGAAAUAUGGAGGAACACCAGUGGCGAAGGCGACUUUCUGGUCUGUAACUGACGCUGAUGUGCGAAAGCGUGGGGAUCAAACAGG